UACGGGGGGAGCAAGCGUUGUUCGGAUUUACUGGGCGUAAAGGGCGCGUAGGCGGUCAGCACAAGUCAGUUGUGAAAUCUCCGGGCUUAACUCGGAAAGGUCAACUGAUACUGUGCGACUAGAGUGCGGAAGGGGCAACUGGAAUUCUCGGUGUAGCGGUGAAAUGCGUAGAUAUCGAGAGGAACACCUGCGGCGAAGGCGGGUUGCUGGGCCGAUACUGACGCUGAGGAGCGAAAGCGUGGGGAGCGAACAGG
rnacentral:rRNA from 1 species